GAUGAACGCUGGCGGCGUGCCUAAUACAUGCAAGUCGAGCGAACGGACGAGAAGCUUGCUUCUCUGAUGUUAGCGGCGGACGGGUGAGUAACACGUGGAUAACCUACCUAUAAGACUGGGAUAACUUCGGGAAACCGGAGCUAAUACCGGAUAAUAUUUUGAACCGCAUGGUUCAAAAGUGAAAGACAGUCUUGCUGUCACUUAUAGAUGGAUCCGCGCUGCAUUAGCUAGUUGGUAAGGUAACGGCUUACCAAGGCAACGAUGCAUAGCCGACCUGAGAGGGUGAUCGGCCACACUGGAACUGAGACACGGUCCAGACUCCUACGGGAGGCAGCAGUAGGGAAUCUUCCGCAAUGGGCGAAAGCCUGACGGAGCAACGCCGCGUGAGUGAUGAAGGUCUUCGGAUCGUAAAACUCUGUUAUUAGGGAAGAACAUAUGUGUAAGUAACUGUGCACAUCUUGACGGUACCUAAUCAGAAAGCCACGGCUAACUACGUG
rnacentral:rRNA from 1 species